GACGGAAGGUGCAAGCGUUGCUCGGAAUCACUGGGCGUAAAGGGUGCGUAGGCGGCCGUGCAAGUCUGGCGUGAAAGCCCCGGGCUCAGCCCGGGAAGUGCGCUCGAAACUGCGCGGCUCGAGUGCCGGAGGGGAGAGUGGAAUUCCUGGUGUAGCGGUGAAAUGCGUAGAGAUGGGGGAGAACACUCGUGGCGAAGGCGGCCAGCUAGACCAGUUCUGACACUGAGGCGCGACAGCGUGGGGAGCAAACAGG
rnacentral:rRNA from 1 species